rnacentral:rRNA from 1 species
GAUGAACGCUGGCGGCGUGCCUAAUACAUGCGAGUCGAGCGAACAGACGAGGAGCUUGCUCCUCUGACGUUAGCGGCGGACAGGUGAGUAACACGUGGAUAACCUACCUAUAAGACUGGGAUAACUUCGGGAAACCGGAGCUAAUACCGGAUAACAUGUUGAACCGCAUGGUUCAACAGUGAAAGACGGUUUUGCUGUCACUUAUAGAUGGAUCCGCGCCGCAUUAGCUAGUUGGUAAGGUAACGGCUUACCAAGGCAACGAUGCGUAGCCGACCUGAGAGGGUGAUCGGCCACACUGGAACUGAGACACGGUCCAGACUCCUACGGGAGGCAGCAGUAGGGAAUCUUCCGCAAUGGGCGAAAGCCUGACGGAGCAACGCCGCGUGAGUGAAGAAGGUCUUCGGAUCGUAAAACUCUGUUAUUAGGGAAGAACAAAUGUGUAAGUAACUAUGCACGUCUUGACGGUACCUAAUCAGAAAGCCACGGCUAACUACGUG